rnacentral:rRNA from 1 species
ACGGAAGGCAGCAGUGGGGAAUAUUGCACAAUGGGCGCAAGCCUGAUGCAGCGACGCCGCGUGCGGGAUGACGGCCUUCGGGUUGUAAACCGCUUUUGAUCGGGAGCAAGCCUUCGGGUGAGUGUACCUUUCGAAUAAGCACCGGCUAACUACGUGCCAGCAGCCGCGGUAAUACGUAGGGUGCAAGCGUUAUCCGGAAUUAUUGGGCGUAAAGGGCUCGUAGGCGGUUCGUCGCGUCCGGUGUGAAAGUCCAUCGCUUAACGGUGGAUCUGCGCCGGGUACGGGCGGGCUGGAGUGCGGUAGGGGAGACUGGAAUUCCCGGUGUAACGGUGGAAUGUGUAGAUAUCGGGAAGAACACCAAUGGCGAAGGCAGGUCUCUGGGCCGUUACUGACGCUGAGGAGCGAAAGCGUGGGGAGCGAACAGGAUUAGAUACCCUGGUA